GUCACUCUACUGCCAUUCAUCAUUUCCGCCGGGUACCCAAAAUGUUGCCAAACAAAUGAUUGAAAAGUGGCGGGGGCAUCUUCGACGGUAUUACGGGUAUUUUCCGACGUCAUUCUGGCUGCCUAUGGCUGCUUCCCCUGCUUCCCCUCCUUUUCCUCCUCUUCUUCUUUUCCUUCUCCUUCGUUAGGUUCUGGCAGGCUAGACGUAGCAAAGGCGCAUUACUGCCCCUACAGGCCACAAAUAGAAGUUUGGAUAGCUCACAAAUCUCGCGAGACCGAUUUUUAACGCGACGGGUAAUAUCGUCGAGUUUAAUCUCGCGAGAUCUCGUAGCACGAGAUCUCGUCACACCCCUAAGUAGUACUAUAUAUAUUAAGUUAACACUACUUUAAGUACGAUUUAUUUGUAGCGAUUCAUUCACGUAGUUUUACUCUGUGUGGCCCAUGAACCCCCAGUGGUUUUCCUUUUCGGCCCACUUGAUAAGGAGGUUGAAUAGCCCUGAUAUACACCUUAAAAUUAAAAAGGGGUUAUAUUAGUUAAUUAAAGAUAAACAGUUCUCAUCUAUCCAAACUGUUUUCACGUGUGCGCGCAUGCGUUCGAGAACAGUAGCGUCAGUUUCACGGGAGUGCGCCCACUUGUCGUGCCGUUUGACAGGAUGCUGCGCCUCCUCUCUGGCCGCUCGUGUGAAAAGCCCUUUAUGGCACCUGCAGUGAUUAUUUAAACUACAAACAUAUUCGCAGUAAAGACGGAUACAGAAAUUAGUGAUCCAAACAUAAUUUGAAUUAAAACAUACCUUGAGCGUGUGCGUAUUUCACUUAGAUGGGGCCAAUCAAAAUAUUCCUUGGUUUCCCUUCGAUUAGGAUCCUUCCGUAUAUGAUUUUGCAUUCCUUUGUUGAAACGUCGGUGUCCCCAUCGAUCAUAAUUGAUAAAUACGGAGCAUCCUUGAUCUUCGUGUAAGUCUUCCCCUUCAGAGUGUCCGCAGUUACUCCAACGAAUUGUGCGCAUGCUGUAUCGUUGUAUGUGUCGUUACAUUUUAAGCCAUUUUUCCUUUGAAGGUCGAGAUGGCUUUUGAACUUGGUGAAGGGUAGUUCCUCCUUAGCAACGAAGUAUGCCGUGUUAAAUCGAAGUACCUGCAGUGUCUUGGCAAACUUGGUGUUCCCCGCAUUUCUUGGGUAGCGUCUGCAACAUUCACAGUUCAUGGAUUUCGUCUCCUUGCAGUACCUUAACCAGCAAAAUUCUCGCAGCCAGUCUUCCCUAAAAUGUUGGGUUCGGCCCUUUUUAGCCACAUGAUCCUCUGAAUCAUCAUCCUCCGACUCUGUAGACUGUGGCACUGGCACACUACUAGCCGCAAGUGCCGCAGGUCGGUAGAACGAAUCAAUUGUUCGCUUGCUCAUUGUUUGAGUGGCAGGUUGAGAUCGUUCUCCUUCUCAGAGACCCGCGCCGGUUUCCCGCGCUCGAUCAGCUGUAAAAUUCAGUUGCGCAUUCUCAAAUUUUGCGGAGCCCGGUCUGGAGCCCUGCCUUGUACAGCAAAUAAUUUAUGCAACUGAUGUGUUCGGAGUGGUACUCCACAUGGGACACCAUAUGCCUUCAUGGCAGAUCUCUAUUGCAAGUAAAAGAAAAAUGAUGUGCCCGAUAAAUCAUACUCUGCUUUUAGAUCAUUAAAGCCCUUAAACCAUCAUACAAAUCUCGGAGAAUAUAAACUCCUUUACCAAUCCAUUGAGGAAAAUAAAAUGGUGUAUUGCCAAUAAGAAGAGAGAAGUUAUUGAAUACAGGGGCAUGUUUAUGCCAUUUAAGAUCUACCCCAGUAUGUUUCAUUACAGAGGGCCGAAGCACUUAUUAACUUUUUUAGACGGAAUGUUGGAGUAGACCAGGUCUUGUAGUCUAUGAGGUGAAAGGUUUUCCUCAAUUGAUCUCCAAGACACUGAAGCAUUGAGAUUAACCCAUACAGAUAAGGGGCAAAGAUCAAAGGACCAGAAAUACAUCUUAAAAUUAGGUAAAGCUAGUCCCCCCAGUGUCCUAUCUCGUUGAAGAGUUUUUCAUUUCAGUCCGUCUUUUCCCAUUCCAUACAAAUUUAGAUAUGAGUGAAUGUAAUUUUUCCCAAGACCCUUUUGGUGGUGCAAGGGGAACAAUAGAGGAACAAAAAAUUAUGCAAGGAGGUACAUCCAUUUUUACAAUCGAUAUGUGAGCUUGAAGGGAAUUUGGAAGCUUAGACCAGUGUUCAAGAUCCUUCUCGACUUAAUUAUAUAUGCCUUGAAAGUUUUUUGUUGCUAUAGAAAAAGUAGAAGGGAAUGUGUCAACCCAAAGAUGCCAAAACUGCCUUACUAUUGGGAUCUUAGAGGGCAGGGGUGUAGGUGACAAGGCUGAAUUUAAAUGCAUUAAUGAUUAGGGAUGGGCAUUCGAUUAAGUUGUCUUAGUCGAUCGUCUGGAGAAUUAACGAUCAAUUAGUCGAUUAAUCAUUAAUAUUUUACAUUAGAAUUUAGUUCCGACCAAGUAUAACAGCACCGGGACUUUUAACUAUACAUGUAUCACUCCGCUGUUUAUGUUCUGCUAGCUAGUGUGUGUUCAGUCCCAGUCGCGGAUCCAUUUGUGUUGGCGGUGCCAAAUAAAUCAUUAAAUAAACAAACAAAUGUUAAACUAAUUAAUGGUGCUUGUAGAACUGUUAGAAUUAUUCAAUAUCACACUCGAGGUCGUGCUGUUGUAGUGAAUAUCAGCACGGCUGUGAUUAUCUUCGGCACAAUCACAGCCGUGCUGAUACAACGCACUCCCUCUCGUGUGAUAUUGCUUAAGUAUUAAUAUGCUAUAUUAAAAAUGCAAUGAAAAUACAAAAACAGUGUUUUCCUAAUUGGGAUCUUUAUUAUUAGAUGAACAACUCAGUUAAACCAGAUCCGUUCAAUAGUUAUGCGCUACUCUGCUCUAAGCAACAGAGCCUGCAGCUCGAAGCCGGUGCUCAUAAACAUAA